GAUGAACGCUGGCGGCGUGCCUAAUACAUGCAAGUCGAGCGAACGGACGAGAAGCUUGCUUCUCUGAUGUUAGCGUCGGACGGGUGAGUAACACGUGGAUAACCUACCUAUAAGAAUGGGAUAACUUCGUGAAAACGGAGCUAAUACCGGAUAAUAUUUUGAACAGCAUGGUUCAAAAGUGAAAGACGGUCUUGCUGUCACUUAUAGCUGGAUCCGCGUUGCAUUAGCUAGUGGGUAAGGUAACGGCUUACCAAGGCAACGAUGCAUAGCCGACCUGAGAGGGUGAUCGGCCACACUGGAACUGAGACACGGUCCAGACUCCUACGGGAGGCAGCAGUAGGGAAUCUUCCGCAAUGGGCGAAAGCCUGACGGAGCAACGCCGCGUGAGUGAUGAAGGUCUUCGGAUCGUAAAACUCUGUUAUUAGGGAAGAACAUAUGUGUAAGUAACUGUGCACAUCUUGACGUUACCUAAUCAGAAAGCCACGGCUAACUCCGUG
rnacentral:rRNA from 1 species